rnacentral:rRNA from 1 species
UACGUAGGGUGCGAGCGUUGUCCGGAAUUAUUGGGCGUAAAGAGCUCGUAGGCGGCCUGUCGCGUCGGUUGUGAAAGCCCAGGGCUUAACCCCGGGUCUGCAGUCGAUACGGGCAGGCUAGAGUUCGGUAGGGGAGAUCGGAAUUCCUGGUGUAGCGGUGAAAUGCGCAGAUAUCAGGAGGAACACCGGUGGCGAAGGCGGAUCUCUGGGCCGAUACUGACGCUGAGGAGCGAAAGCGUGGGGAGCGAACAGG